UACGUAGGUGGCAAGCGUUGUCCGGAUUUACUGGGCGUAAAGAGCGCGCAGGCGGUCGUUCAAGUCGCGUGUGAAAGCCCCCGGCUCAACUGGGGAGGGUCACGCGAUACUGAUCGACUCGAAGGCAGGAGAGGGAAGUGGAAUUCCCGGUGUAGUGGUGAAAUGCGCAGAUAUCAGGAAGAACACCCGUGGCGAAGGCGGUUCUCUGGGACGGUACUGACGCUGAGACGCGAAAGCGUGGGGAGCGAACAGG
rnacentral:rRNA from 1 species